UGGUGCCCUUCACAAGGGCCUCGAGGGAAGCCGGUGUGAAUCCGGCGCUGUACCCGCAACUGUCAGCCAGGAGCUGAUGGCCAUUAAGCCACUGGACCCUUCGGGGUCUGGGAAGGCGGCCUGAAGCAUUGAUCGGUGAGCCAGGAGACCUGCCAUCGCG
rnacentral:ncRNA from 1 species